rnacentral:rRNA from 1 species
UACGUAGGGUGCAAGCGUUAAUCGGAAUUACUGGGCGUAAAGCGUGCGCAGGCGGUUAUGCAAGACAGAUGUGAAAUCCCCGGGCUCAACCUGGGAACUGCAUUUGUGACUGCAUGGCUAGAGUACGGUAGAGGGGAUGGAAUUCCGCGUGUAGCAGUGAAAUGCGUAGAUAUGCGGAGGAACACCGAUGGCGAAGGCAAUCCCUGGACCUGUACUGACGCUCAUGCACGAAAGCGUGGGAGCAAACAGG